CUCGGUUCGUCCUCGCUCUUCUUUUUUUUUACAAUCGCUCUUCUCGGCAGCCUCCUGCCUUCGCACCAGAGUUUGCUCAGGAAUCCAGGGCUUCAUGUCAGAUCUUAUCCCAGCUCUGAUUAAUAGCAAGAAGGUAAAUGUAGGGGCAAAAAGAGUCGUUUAGGAUGAAAACGAUAAUGAUAAUGGAUGGGAGUGGUAAUAGAAUUAGACCAAGAAGGCACAUUUUUUGCAGCUGUUGAUCCGGUGCUUGGUGCUGCACUCUUCUUCUUCUUCUUCUCAAGAAGCCCGUUUCUCGAACCAUCUCAAGUUGAACAAGCUGCUUGAUCCUAAUCAUUUAUGAUUCAAGAAGGGCCAUUCUAGCACAAUGGCACUACUCACAGUUGUCAACACGUUAUGGCAGGUUAGAGCUACCAACAUGUCAUCAGUGCUCAUCCAACUGGAUCUUUCCUCUGCUUUUAAUAUGUUCAGCCACCAGAUCCUCCUUGGCAUCAUUGAGACUGCCCUCAGAUGGCUUGAGUUAUACCUCUUAGGCAGAUCAUACCAUGUGUCCUGACAUGGCGAGAUGUCAAGGGGGCACCAGGGAAGCAUGGUGGUGUCCAAAGGAUCAAUGGUGGACCCUCUUCUCUUCUCUCUAUAUAAUUCCUCACAGGACUUUAUCUUCCAGUUCCAUGAUUUUUCUAAUCAGUGCUAUGCUGAUGAAAUGCAGCUUUAUCUCUCAUUUCCUCCAGAGGACCACAUGAUAUCAGCUAAAAUCUCUGCAUGUCUCUCUGAUAUUGCAACCUGGACGAAAGCACACCAUCUCUGGCUCUACCUAGCAAAGACUGACCUUUUUAUUAUCCCAGCUCAUCCAUCUGUUUGGUAUUCCAUCUACGUUCAUCUUGGCUCAUUAUCACUAAAUCCUGCCAAGAUGGUAUGCCAACCUGGGUUGGUAAUGACCAGCUGUCCUUCAGGGAUGUUGUUGCUAUGAUCCCCCCAGUCUUGCAGAUUCAGAUAUAAAUACUGUAUAUAUAUAUAUAUGGAGACACUUCUAAGGUCUUGUACCACUUCUUGACCACUUAGGUCUCCUGUUGAACAGCACCUGGUGAUGUCACCUCUGCAUGUUAUCAGAUCUCAGUCCAGACUCUCUUCAUAUGUAGUUGCUGGCUGGUAGAAUGAGUUGCCCACCUUCAUUUGAAAUUCCGACUCCCUUGAUGUGUUUAAGAAUUUAAAGACUUUAUUGUUUGGUUUAAUUCUAUCUAACUGAUUUUAAUUAUUAGAUUUUGUAACCUAUGAAUUGUAACAAGCUUGCAUUUUGUUCUGAGCUCUUCACUUCUGUUGGUCAAUUUUGUCACAUUGUCUUGUAAUACUUUGCUUAGUUUGCUCUGUUAUGUUGACUUCUUCUGUAAGUCACUUUGGAUUAAUGUGUCUGCUGUGGAAACAAAUACAAAUGCAUUUUUUUCAUCUGUUCAAGUGUUUACCAGGGAUGAUUGUAGAGGAAAUCCUGCGGCUGGUAGAUUUCACUUACUUUUCAUUAAUUUCUUCUUGUAAGAAUCAAGGCAACAACAGUCUGAGCAGAUCAAAUGAGGCUUCUCUAACCCUAGCAUCAGAUUCAGCUCUUCCCAGAAAAUGUCUAGAUAGUUCCAAGUCAGAGGAGUGGUCUUUAUUUAGAUUUGAGGGUGCUGAAAAAGUAACAGAAUUACUUUAUCAUAUCCAGUUUUUGAGAGAGAAUGUUUUAAAAUGAAA